rnacentral:rRNA from 1 species
AACGAACGCUGGCGGCAGGCUUAACACAUGCAAGUCGAACGCUCGUAGCAAUACGGGAGUGGCGGACGGGUGAGUAACGCGUGGGAACGUGCCCUGAGGUACGGAAUAACUGCGGGAAACUGCAGCUAAUACCGUAUGAGCCCCGUGAGGGGGAAAGAUUUAUCGCCUUAGGAGCGGCCCGCGUCGGAUUAGCUAGUUGGUGGGGUAACGGCUUACCAAGGCUUCGAUCCGUAGCUGGUCUGAGAGGACGAUCAGCCACACUGGGACUGAGACACGGCCCAGACUCCUACGGGAGGCAGCAGUGGGGAAUCUUGCGCAAUGGGCGAAAGCCUGACGCAGCCAUGCCGCGUGAAUGAUGAAGGCCUUAGGGUUGUAAAGUUCUUUUACCCGUGACGAUGAUGACGGUAACGGGGAAUAAGCUCCGGCAAACUUCGUG